GACGAACGCUGGCGGCGUGCCUAAUACAUGCAAGUAGAACGCUGGAGAGAGGAGCUUGCUCUUCUUGGAUGAGUUGCGAACGGGUGAGUAACGCGUAGGUAACCCGCCUUGUAGCGGGGGAUAACUAUUGGAAACGAUAGCUAAUACCGCAUAACAAUGGAUGACACAUGUCAUUUAUUUGAAAGGGGCACUUGCUCCACUACAAGAAUGACCUGCGUUGUCUUAGCUAGUAGGUGAGGUAAUGGCUCACCAAGGCAACGAUACAUAGCCGACCUGAGAGGGUGUUCGCCCACCCUGGAACUGGGACACGCUCCAGACUCCUACGGGAGGAACAGGAAGGGAAUCUUCCGAAAUGGGGCAAAGCCUGACGGGGCACCGCCGCGUGGGGAAUGAGGGUCUUCGGUUCGUAAAACUCUGUUAUUGGGGAGGACCAUAUGUGUAAGUGACUGUGCACACCUUGACGGUACCUAACCAGAAAGCCACGGCUAACUACGUG
rnacentral:rRNA from 1 species